UACGGGAGGCAGCAGUGGGGAAUCUUGCGCAAUGGGCGAAAGCCUGACGCAGCCAUGCCGCGUGAAUGAUGAAGGUCUUAGGAUUGUAAAAUUCUUUCACCGGGGACGAUAAUGACGGUACCCGGAGAAGAAGCCCCGGCUAACUUCGUGCCAGCAGCCGCGGUAAUACGAAGGGGCUAGCGUUGCUCGGAAUUACUGGGCGUAAAGGGAGCGUAGGCGGACAUUUAAGUCAGGGGUGAAAUCCCGGGGCUCAACCUCGGAAUUGCCUUUUGAUACUGGGUGUCUUGAGUAUGAGAGAGGUAUGUGGAACUCCGAGUGUAGAGGUGAAAUUCGUAGAUAUUCGGAAGAACACCAGUGGCGAAGGCGACAUACUGGCUCAUUACUGACGCUGAGGCUCGAAAGCGUGGGGAGCAAACAGGGAUUUAGAUACC
rnacentral:rRNA from 1 species